CUCGGCCUGACAUUUGUGGCCCUGAGGUUGACGCGAAAAACAAUCAGUUCAGCGGAUUGGCCUACACUGUAAUACAGCUGGGUCACACAAAUCAUAGCGGAUCAUUCCACGGUGACGCGUUUACAUUCUUUCAAUGCCCAGUGGCCUGUGUCUGCAAAACUGCCCCCGGAAACGGUUUGAAAAAUAAUGGGAGUAUGUUCAAUAACACUAAGAGACGCUACAAGACCAACACUUGUUUAGCCAUUGGGUUCUAUUUUAUUUUCGGCUUCUCUGAAGUAGAUAUUCUUGAUUUCUUAUGCCUGAGACAAGGCCGCCUCCGUUGAAGACCGUGGCAAUUAAAGCAGAGCCUAAAGUUCCCGCAUAGUUCAGAAGGCUAUGGUUUCCUAGGUGCCACUCUAUGUGUGUAUGUGCUCUAAGAAUAGCCUACAAUGCAAGUCCCCAAAAAUGAGCCUUGGACAACUGGCCUUGGCAGAUACAGUCACAGUACAGCGUACAGUACAAGAUACAUGCAAGCACAAUACAAUACAAACGAUAAAAAAAAAAAAAUUGCUUACAUUUAAGAAGCUUCUUAAAAUAAACGCCAGAUUUCACACACAGAGAAAAUGCGUAAAUAAUUACAUCAUUAUAAAACUAACCUGCACACAUUUAAUAGACUGAGUAGGCUUUAAGACCAAAAGGACAUGGGCAAAUGUUGCUUUAAUGACCUUAAGAACCUCUGCUUGUGUAAGCUAUCACAUACCUUUGUACUUGUAAUUGAUUAUGUUUGAAUGUGUAAAAAUGAACCGAGGGCACAUGACGAAUAGCCUAUUCUUGUCCAUAAAUCCAUGUGUCCAUCUGACAAAUCAUACUUACCAGUCGUUAUGUGGUGCGCUGGCAGAGCAGGGGCUAGAAAGAUCCAAAGUAAUUUUAUCCGGCCACCAUCUUGCAAGGCUGCCUCGAUACAGAUGACAAUCAAUACCGUUCGUCUCUCUUUUUCGAGUUGCUAGACUGAGCCUAGACCUCCGCAGCAGUGAAUGGACCUGUAACCUGUGCACCGAAACGAAUGCAUGUUCACUUCUGU
ensembl:lncRNA